rnacentral:rRNA from 1 species
GCUUGCUCUUAUGAAGUUAGCGGCGGACGGGUGAGUAACACGUGGGUAACCUACCCAUAAGACUGGGAUAACUCCGGGAAACCGGGGCUAAUACCGGAUAAUAUUUUGAACUGCAUAGUUCGAAAUUGAAAGGCGGCUUCGGCUGUCACUUAUGGAUGGACCCGCGUCGCAUUAGCUAGUUGGUGAGGUAACGGCUCACCAAGGCAACGAUGCGUAGCCGACCUGAGAGGGUGAUCGGCCACACUGGGACUGAGACACGGCCCAGACUCCUACGGGAGGCAGCAGUAGGGAAUCUUCCGCAAUGGACGAAAGUCUGACGGAGCAACGCCGCGUGAGUGAUGAAGGCUUUCGGGUCGUAAAACUCUGUUGUUAGGGAAGAACAAGUGCUAGUUGAAUAAGCUGGCACCUUGACGGUACCUAACCAGAAAGCCACGGCUAACUACGUGCCAGCAGCCGCGGUAAUACGUAGGUGGCAAGCGUUAUCCGGAAUUAUUGGGCGUAAAGCGCGCGCAGGUGGUUUCUUAAGUCUGAUGUGAAAGCCCACGGCUCAACCGUGGAGGGUCAUUGGAAACUGGGAGACUUGAGUGCAGAAGAGGAAAGUGGAAUUCCAUGUGUAGCGGUGAAAUGCGUAGAGAUAUGGAGGAACACCAGUGGCGAAGGCGACUUUCUGGUCUGUAACUGACACUGAGGCGCG